AACGCACAUUGCGCCCGCCAGUAUUCUGGCGGGCAUGCCUGUUCGAGCGUCAUUACAACCCUCAGGCCCCCGGGCCUGGCGUUGGGGAUCGGCGAGGCGCCCCCUGCGGGCACACGCCGUCCCCCAAAUACAGUGGCGGUCCCGCCGCAGCUUCCAUUGCGUAGUAGCUAACACCUCGCAACUGGAGAGCGGCGCGGCCACGCCGUAAAACCCCCAACUUCUGAAUGUUGACCUCGAAUCAGGUAGGAAUACCCGCUGAACUUAA
rnacentral:misc_RNA from 1 species